GGGUGAAAAGCAACUCGACAGUCAUUCCCAUGGCCAGAAGGCUAGGCCAGUGAUUACCGGCCCAUUCCUGGGGAUAGUUGGGGUCUCAGGCUUUGGCCUGGAUUCAGUCAAUAAAAGGCCUCCCUGCUCCUCUGAACCAAGUCUGAACUUUGAAUUUAUCAUCAACCGUGAAGCAUUUGGAACCAAGAAAACAAGAAGUUACCAGUAUGUGUUGGAUACUCAUUAAAGACUGAGCAACAUUUUAUGAAAUAACCCAACCCCUCCCCACUUUGUGUCUGAUCAAGGAAAAUAAUUUAAACGCCUCACUCGUUCCCUUAGACUGUGCCCGGUGAAGCAGUAUGUACUUGUGGGGAUUAAUAAAUACUUUUUCAUGAUGA